GAAACAGUUGCUAAGACUGGAUAGGAAAAGUAAAGGCAUCUUUACUUUUUUAAAAGACCUUCUUCGAAGGUAUGCUUGAGGAGGGGCUUGCGACACAUUAGUUAGUUGGCAGGGUAAAGGCCUACCAAGACUAUGAUGUGUAGCUGGACUGAGAGGUUGAACAGAGACAUUGGGACUGAGACACGGCCCAAACUCCUACGGGAGGCAGCAGUAGGGAAUUUUCGGCAAUGGAGGAAACUCUGACCGAGCAACGCCGCGUGAACGAUGAAGUACCUCGGUAUGUAAAGUUCUUUUAUUGAGGAAGAAAAAAGUGUGGAAAAACUCCCUUGACGGUACUUAAUGAAUAAGCCCCGGCUAAUUAUGUGCCAGCAGCCGCGGUAAUACAUAAGGGGCGAGCGUUAUCCGGAAUGAUUGGGCGUAAAGGGUGCGUAGGCGGUUUAAUAAGUCUAUAGUUUAAUUUCAGUGCUUAACGCUGUUGUGCUAUAGAAACUGUUUUACUAGAGUGAGAUAGAGGCAAGCGGAAUUCCAUGUGUAGCGGUAAAAUGCGUAAAUAUAUGGAGGAACACCAGAGGCGUAGGCGGCUUGCUGGGUCUUUACUGACGCUGAGGCACGAAAGCGUGGGGAGCAAACAGGAUUAGAUACCCUGGUAGUCCACGCCGUAAACGAUGAGUACUAAGUGUCGGAUAAAACCGGUACUGAAGUUAACACAUUAAGUACUCCGCCUGAGUAGUACGUACGCAAGUAUGAAACUUAAAGGAAUUGACGGGACUCCGCACAAGCGGUGGAUCAUGUUGUUUAAUUCGAAGAUACACGAAAAACCUUACCAGGUCUUGACAUUUUCUUGCGAAGUUAUAGAAAUAUAAUGGAGGUUAUCAGGAAAACAGGUGGUGCAUGGUUGUCGUCAGCUCGUGUCGUGAGAUGUUAGGUUAAGUCCUAAAACGAGCGCAACCCUUGUCGUUAAUUGCCAGCAUGUAAUGAUGGGGACUUUAACGAGACUGCCAAUGAAAAAUUGGAGGAAGGUGGGGAUUACGUCAAAUCAUCAUGCCCCUUAUGAUCUGGGCUACAAACGUGAUACAAUGGUUGAUACAAAGAGUAGCUGAAAUGCGAGUUUUUAGCCAAUCUCACAAAAUCAAUCUCAGUUCGGAUUGAAGUCUGCAACUCGACUUCAUGAAGUCGGAAUCGCUAGUAAUCGCGAAUCAGCAUGUCGCGGUGAAUACGUUCACGGGGUUUGUACACACCGCCCGUCA
rnacentral:rRNA from 1 species